AUAAUGAUGUGAUCCCAUCAAGACAGAGUAAGGAAGCAGAGCAUGGUAGCAGCUGGGGGACAGGAGGUGACCAUCAAGUCCUCUGACUUCUCCUCAGUGCCUCUUGCUUUCCUGCAGAUAACUGCUGGCAAUGAUUCAGUCACUGACUUGAGCACUAGUGGAAACCUACUUGAUGUGUUAGAAGUUAAUUAUUUAUUCAUUUAAAUAUCCCAUAAUCAUCUGGCUGAAAGAAGAGACGGACUUGUCCUGAUCUGACACGAUUCGUCUCCAGAGGUCGUCUGUGUUCUGAGAGCCAGAAAACCUGCUGAGUGCUCAUGUGAACUCAGCCAGCUCAGAGCUAUGAACUAAUACUGAUACCAAAUAUUCUUUUAAAUCUAUCAGCUAACAAGAAAGUAAAAUUGCUUGUAAUUCAAAAGGAUGGCACUCCCUUUGCAAUUGUUUGCUCAACUAUUUUUUGACUGCUCUGCUCGAUGGACAAAUGCGCAAGGAGAUGGAA
rnacentral:lncRNA from 1 species